rnacentral:rRNA from 1 species
CAGUCGCCACGGGAAUACGGAGGGGGCUAGCGUUGUUCGGAAUUACUGGGCGUAAAGCGCACGUAGGCGGCUUUGUAAGUUAGAGGUGAAAGCCCGGAGCUCAACUCCGGAAUUGCCUUUAAGACUGCAGAGCUAGCAGGUGAGAGAGGUGAGUGGAAUUCCGAGUGUAGAGGUGAAAUUCGUAGAUAUUCGGAAGAACACCAGUGGCGAAGGCGGCUCACUGGCUCAUACUGGACGCUGAGGUGCGAAAGCGUGGGGAGCAAACAGGAUUAGAUACCCGCGUAGUCCCUGUCUCUUAUAC